UCAGAUUGAACGCUAGCGGGAUGCUUUACACAUGCAAGUCGAACGGCAGCGCGGACUUCGGUCUGGCGGCGAGUGGCGAACGGGUGAGUAAUGUAUCGGAACGUACCCAGUAGCGGGGGAUAACUACGCGAAAGCGUGGCUAAUACCGCAUACGCCCUUUGGGGGAAAGCGGGGGACCUUCGGGCCUCGCACUAUUGGAGCGGCCGAUAUCGGAUUAGCUAGUUGGUGAGGUAAAGGCUCACCAAGGCGACGAUCCGUAGCUGGUUUGAGAGGACGACCAGCCACACUGGGACUGAGACACGGCCCAGACUCCUACGGGAGGCAGCAGUGGGGAAUUUUGGACAAUGGGGGCAACCCUGAUCCAGCCAUCCCGCGUGUGCGAUGAAGGCCUUCGGGUUGUAAAGCACUUUUGGCAGGGAAGAAAAGGUGCCGGUGAAUACCCGGCGCCGCUGACGGUACCUGCAGAAUAAGCACCGGCUAACUACGUGCCAGCAGCCGCGGUAAUACGUAGGGUGCAAGCGUUAAUCGGAAUUACUGGGCGUAAAGCGUGCGCAGGCGGCUCGGAAAGAAAGAUGUGAAAUCCCAGGGCUUAACCUUGGAAUGGCAUUUUUAACUCCCGAGCUAGAGUAUGUCAGAGGGGGGUAGAAUUCCACGUGUAGCAGUGAAAUGCGUAGAGAUGUGGAGGAAUACCGAUGGCGAAGGCAGCCCCCUGGGAUAAUACUGAC
rnacentral:rRNA from 1 species